rnacentral:lncRNA from 1 species
GCCCCGUGCGAGCCGCCCCCGCCCCCGCGGAGGGGAGCGAGCGCUCGCGGGCCCGUGGUGGGUUCGGCUGCGCUGCGUGAGGGGCUGGGGCGGUCGUGGUGGCGCGAGCGCAGGGAGCGGACAUUGGGUUCCUGAACCUCGGCGCUGAAGACAGCCAGGCCUCCAGCACAGGGUCAAACAGUGCUGCUUCUUGGAAAAACUGAAAAAGCUCUCUGGACGACAGGGGCCCAGAGCUGAUGGCAGACAAUGUCAGCCACUAACAACAUAGCCCAGGCUCGGAAGCUGGUGGAACAGCUCCGCAUCGAAGCCGGGAUUGAGCGCAUCAAGGUCUCCAAAGCCUCCUCCGAACUCAUGAGCUAUUGUGAGCAGCACGCCCGGAACGACCCCCUGCUGGUGGGAGUCCCCGCCUCGGAGAACCCCUUUAAGGACAAGAAGCCUUGUAUUAUCCUAUAGCUCUAUCUUCCCUCAGCUCCUCCCUGACCCCGCCCCACCCCCACCCCAGCCAAGGCAUCAUUCAGUACACAGUCAAGCAAAACUCUUCAUUCCAAAAGAAAUGCAAAAAGUUGCCGUCACCCAGGUCGGGUAAAAUGUAUCCUCUGGGUUCAGAUGGAUUUUCAGACCCAACAUCGCAGCCCUGUCGGGGGCCGGGCUCCACCACCACUUCUCAUGGGAAAUAGCUGAAAUGCCCAAGCAACGCGGUAACGAUUUUUGAAAACGGCGUUGCCAUUUAAGUCAUGGUCUAGAGCCAGAGCUGGGCGGGGAGACGGGAAGGAGGUGGGUGAAUUAGCCGCUGGCGUGGCUGACCCGGCCCGGUGGCGAGUCUCACACAGUUGGCCAUUUGUGAGGACUUCAGCCAGGUUGAUGAUGUGAUGCCUUUGGCCAGGGUGUGUGAAGUGGACAAAACUUGGGUGGAGUUGGGAGGAGGGACAUAACGAGCUUUUUUCAGAAAUCUUUCUCCUUUUCAUUUAAAACCUUGUAAUUCCGUACCGCUAAAAUCGGGUGUCACUGGCUGAACUUGUAGCUAAGCUGGGUUGUGUGACUUGGAUUUCAGGGGCCGGGAGGGGGGCUUUGCCUGUGAAACGCACCCCUGUCACCCAGGGUCACCCAACUGUGUGGCUAUUGUGUGGCAUGUGUCAUCCGACAGCCAUGCUGAGGCCUCCUCCCUUUCCUGGGGACCCCGCCCAUCCCAGAAACGGAUUUUCAGCCCAUGGCUCUGGUCACUGCAACGGCCAGCUGUGUUUUCUUUAGUUUUAAGCACGAGACAUCAGCGUGGGCAGUUAGAGGCUAUGGUCAUAUUUGGCUCUUCCGUGUUUUGUUCUGUUUUUUUUCCACUUUCUGCAUCUCCAUGGCCAUUUUUCAGACAGAAAUGCAGCCUGGGGAGGCCAGCCUGGGGCCCCCUGGUGCUUCGGGGUAUAAAAAGGUGCGAGGGAAUUCCCCGGUGGUCCAGUAGUUAGGACUCUGCGCUUCCACUGCAGGGGGCACGGUUUCGAUCCCGGGGAACUAAGAUCCCGCAAGCCGGGUGGGUGGCUGGCC